GCCAGACUCCUACGGGAGGCAGCAGUGGGGGAUAUUGCACAAUGGGGGGAACCCUGAUGCAGCGACGCCGCGUGGGUGAAGGAGCGUUUCGGCGCGUAAAGCCCUAUCGGCAGGGAAGAAGGAGGACGGUACCUGACUAAGAAGCCCCGGCUAACUACGUGCCAGCAGCCGCGGUAAUACGUAGGGGGCAAGCGUUAUCCGGAUUUACUGGGUGUAAAGGGGGCGCAGACGGCAGCGCAAGCCAGGAGUGAAAGCCCGGGGCCCAACCCCGGGACUGCUCUUGGAACUGCGCGGCUGGAGUGCAGGAGGGGCAGGCGGAAUUCCUGGUGUAGCGGUGAAAUGCGUAGAUAUCAGGAGGAACACCAGUGGCGAAGGCGGCUUACUGGACUGUAACUGACGUUGAGGCUCGAAAGCGUGGGGAGCAAACAGGAGUAGAUACCCCGGUA
rnacentral:rRNA from 1 species